UACUGCUGGGAGAUGGAGGCAUUGUUGGACUGAGAGCUGUCAGGACAGGUUGAGAUCCAAUGACAAGCAAGGGCCGGAGGAGACGUGUCAUUUCCUGUAGCUCUUUGCUCAGCUGAGAGACUUGCUGGGAUAGACUAGUCAUCUGUGAAUGAGAUCAACAAGAAUGUUUGAAAAUGAGGGGCACACAAGGCAGCAUAGAGGCUAAAAAUAUAUUCUGGUUUGGUGCAAAGGGACUAUGAAGGCAGUGACAAAUUCUGAAGUGUGCUGAAGUGUCAGAGCACUGCAUUCUGGGAAGGCACACACUGGAGGCAACUGAGUUCAGCAGCACUGGGAGAGAGAUGGGUGGUGGACCAUAUGUGCAUCUUUCAUCAAUAUUCUCCAGAGCCUCCUGUGGAUCCUCGGGUCAAGCUGUCAGAUCGAUAACGCCACAGGAAAGUGGCAUUACUUUGCGUGUGUGCAGGUGGUGUGUUUUCAACAUCAAACGCAGAUCCUCCAAACACUGAACCAAACAGUCUCUCGGUGACAGUGAGUGGACGUGCAUGGGAACACAGGCAGUCUAUAUAUGUGUACCUGAAUGUGUGUGUGUGUGUGUGUGUGUGUGUGUGCAUUCAUUCACAGCUCUGCUUUUCCUCUUCCUUUUACGACAUAAUAGUGCAAUGUUAAAGGUUGUA